rnacentral:lncRNA from 1 species
AAAGAGAAUAUGAUCCAAAUUACUGAACAGAAAGAUUACGCAUGCAAUCAAUGAGCAACCAGAGAUGAUGCUCAAAAGUGAAGGAAUGUUACCAGCCUUUUUCGCAACCUGAAAAGGUACAAUCUUCAAUCAAAUGAAAGAGAAAACCCUAAAUCUCAUCGCAAAUUUUAUGAUUCUUCAAAAAAAAAAAUCUUCUAACAAUAGUAAUAUCAAUAGAAGAGACCUUUGAAAGACGAACAACUAUGAAAAUCCCAAAACAUCAACGAAAAAUCCAUGAAUCAUCAGAGAAUUCGAAGAACUUCACGAACAUUGUAACUUCGGCGGAAAUCGUUGAAAUUAUAAUCGAUCGAACGGGAAAGAGAAAUUAGCAGAUACUCUGCUUUGAUACCAUGAGAAAAUUACAAGAAAUCCAUCAAUCCACGUGAAAUUGUUAACUAGGGUUCUUGUUGAAGAAGCUAGAGAGAGAAGUUCAUUUUCGUAUAUUGUUGAAGAAAAGAAAAUGAAUCCGCUGAAAAAAAUGUUUC